rnacentral:lncRNA from 1 species
AGCCAGGCAGGCAGGCAGUCAGUGUGAAGCGAGCCCUGGUGAGGUGUGGAACCCACGGUCGGUGCUGAUCAUUAGCGUCUCCAUCCUGCGAGGAUUCCCAUAUCCACUGAGGAUUUCCGUUCCCCUUCGUCCCAUAGCGGGAUCUUGCCAAAGCAGGCUCAGGAAGAGUCUGACCUGCAGUGUGUGUGGAUUUCGUCGGAUUCUCGCGAAGAUAUUCAGCGGCGCGGGAGUGAGGGUGUGUCAGUGUUCGCCCCCGAGUGUAGGGAAACCUAUCGGGAGGCCCCAGUGUUUUAGUGAGGAUUACUGUUCACGAGCAAGGAUUCCGUUAUUCGCAGAGGAUUACAACCUGUACGCCAAGGAUCUCCCGCCAUUCAGCGAGGAUUUGAGUGUCCACAAAGGGUCACUGUAAUUGCCCGGGAGAAUUCCGAACGCCAUUGAGGGAUUCCAGGAUCCAUCGACGCUCGAGCAGGGCCAGGCGACAACGACGGCGGUGGUGGUGGCCACGAUUCUGCGAAACCGGUAAGAGGAUGUUCCAGGGACAGCCCGGCGCCUGCUGCGUGAGUGGAUAGAGUUACAGAGUCCGAGGUCUGAGAGAGAGAAAAAAGACGAAAGAAAAGAAAAGAGAAGAGAGAAAGAAAGAGAGAGCGAGUACGAAAGAAAAGAAAAGAGAAGAGGGAAACAAAGAGAGAGCGAGUGCUUUGUGAGUAUUUUACGGUAAGUGCGAGCAGGCAUAAGUCAUCAAAACAAAGAGGAUCAGGUAAAAGGUCGAGUAAGAGAGUUUAAUGUAAUAAAUGCAGCAGGUGUAAUGACAUAAUUAAUUGCAUAUCUUGAUAUAAUUUUCUUCAAUAAAGGUGAGGUAUUCAUUAUCAAUUGUGCUGUUUCUCUUUCUUUCUUUCUUUCUUUCUUUUAUGCCCUACGGACUAAUGAAUCUUUUCACGACAUUUUCAAAGUGUCAUUGACGACGGUGUUGUGUGGGCGUUUUCAGUUAUUUAUCUGAUAUAAAAUCUAGAUUGUUGUGAUACAAUUUAGAUUACGCUUGCUUCACUUUUGUUUUGGAUGUUGACACAGCCGUUGCACGAGGUUGCAAGACUGCCUUUACUCUUGUCCUUGUUUAAUGGAUGCGAGUGUUGACUUUGUUUUCACGUCAAGUUUUUUUUUCUGUGUUUCUUUUUGUUUCAUGUAGCGAGACUGCAGCCUGAGGUACUGCUGACUCGACUUGCUUCAACUCUUGACCUUUAAGUAGUAAUAGUAUUUCUCUCUUUCAUCCUUUGCGUAAGUUCUUUUCCUUUCUCUUUGUAGUAUUGCUCUUUUUCGCUCUUUUAGCUAUAGGAUUUUUAACUUUUUUUUUUUUCUUUCCCUCCGCCUUUUGCUGCUCGCUGUUCAUUCUUCUGUAUCUCUAUCUUUGAUUGCUUCUUCCUUUUUACUUUUUUGUAUGUAGUUUUUUUCCGUUUCCCCUUCUCCAUUGCCUACUAUCCUCUUCUUCUCUUUCUUCUUUCUUCACAGAUUCUCUCUCUUUUUGCAAC